CAGCGAAAUGCGAUACGCAAUGUGAAUUGCAGAAUUCAGUGAAUCAUUAGAAUGCUGAACGCAUACUGCACUCGAGGGAUAUGCCUUCGAGUAUGCCUGCCUCAGUGUCUC
rnacentral:rRNA from 1 species